rnacentral:lncRNA from 1 species
AAAGCCCAACCAUCACAAACAACAAAUCAGAAGCAUCAAAGUCAGAAAUCAAGAAAUCAAAGUAAGAAAAGGUAUGAAAUCCCAAAAAUUAGAAAUCCUUCGAUUCGAUGUUAAUUGAUGCAAUUGAUUGUUUAAAGUAGUGUAAUAAGGAGUCUAUUAAUGUUCUGGGUUGUAAAAUCAUGAACCCAUAACAUCAAAGUGCACGAAUUUGAAGAUUUGAGCAAGUUGGAAAAACCGAAUUCUGUUAUUUUUCACCAAAUGUCAGAGGCUAUAACUCUUUGGUCGAUCCCGAGUUUUGUUUUUUAAAAGUUGUUAUACGUAGCCUGAUAUGUGGUCUUUAAUCCCCAAAAGGAAUCAAGUUCAUAGCUAUUGUAGAUCGGGAUUUAUAAGCGGUCAAAGUGGGUUGACCGGCAUUGACCGGCUGUUUUUCAAACCCAGAAAAUAUUAUAAGUGUCCAGAAAUCUUUUUUUGGCAAAUGUCAGGCCUUAUAUCUAGGUCAUAUUUAAUGUGUUUUGUGUUCUAAAGGUUGAUAUGUGUAUCUUGUUAUGUGGUAUUUAACCUCCAAAAAGAAUCAGGUCCAUAUAUAUUACGAAUUAAGAGUUAUUUAAGGUCAAAGUGGGUUGACCGGCAUUGACCAGAAAAUUCUGGGCAGCCCAGAAUUUUCUAAGUGUUGUUUUUUUUGAUAAGGUUUGACCAUACUUUAGAUGCUUGAUUUAUUGUUGUUAUGAUAAUUUUAAGUGUUAGAGUUGUAGUCCUACAUGUUGUCUAUACACUGGAAUUGAUAUAUCACAUAAAAGUUACACGAUCAUCAAGUUAUAGAGGUCCAAAGUAGGCACCUCGAACUGUUCUUCGUGAAGAACAGUUUUGGUAGCUACUUUGAUGGCUUAUUUAUCCCAGAUCUGAUGUUUGUUUAGAGGUUAUGAUUGUUGAAUCUUGUAGUCCUGUAUUUCCUCUACAAGACUCAAUUUAUAGAUUGUCCAAAUUCAUUAAGAUGAGAGAGUUAUUCACGGUCAAAGUAGCCCACUCGGUUCUGCCUUAUGAAGAUCUGGGUAGGCUC